UCAUUUGUCUUGGGGAAGAAAUGUUUCUACCACUGCAAGAAUCUAUCUACCAUAACAAAUAUCAUUACCUGUGAACAUUUACCAAUUCUUGCUCUGUCCUAUACAAAUGAUAUGCAGCUUUAAGGUAAGAGAUGUAUGUUACCAAUGCACCUGUCUACCACACCAGAUGUCACUGCACCAUAUAUUGAACAAUUCUUGCUCAAUACUUCACUGAUUUACAACCUUGACAAACCAGAAACGACCGCUCACCGGUUCCUCACAAGUGUUUACGCUCAUCAAGGGUCCCUGGUAAUUGUCACGCGCGAUCUGACAAAUUUGAAGUGAAUGUUUGCUUCUGUAUAGCGACAUGGAAGAUCCUUCAACCAAAAAAAGAAGGAGAAAAGGGAGGAGACGGAGGAAGAGCGAUGAGCAGAGACUAAGCAUUGUCUGAUGAGAUGUAGGACUUCAGGCAGUUUGCAGGAAAUCCAUGGUGAAUGAAUGACUUUUCUGCCAAGUGGAAAUAUUUUGGAGAUAUCAUUUUGUGAAACAGGAAGAACAACAUCGAUAAGGUAAGAUUCUCAAUUUACUUUAAAACUGAAUAUUUCAUUUCAAGUAUGCGAGAAAGAGAAAGAAAAUUAGAUAAAGAUAAUGAAGGAAGCCAUAAUAGGAUAAAAAUUGCAUGUAGGCAUAAACUUUGAAAAAAAAUACUUAUGAAGCACCUCAAGUGUUUUCAUAUCCAAUCCUGAUUGGUCUGUCUCCUUUGUUCCCAAAUAUCACCUUGGCCAAAAAGAAAGUAUAAAAGCAAGAUUAUUCAUCACAAUCAACCACAUUGAUUAGAAAACAGACAAAACACAAGAUGACAUCGUUAAAACUUCUGUGUUAUAAUUGAGGAUUGGUGUGAUUGUCAUCUAUAGAAGAUGUGAAUGUGUUACUGAAGUAUUGACAUGGAAACAAAAUAAAGGUGAAAUUGAAGGAGAAUUAAGGUAAAGACAAAUAUUUGAUUUAAUUUAAUGUGUUUCAAUUUAUUGAUUUUGAUGUGAUUUGAAGUGAAUUAAUUUAUUGAUUCUGAUGCGAUGUUAUUUGAUUUGAUGGGGUUUUGAAAAAGAGAGAAAAGAAGAUAAAGAAGGGGAAGAUAAGCAGAGAGCUGAUUUGCGGUUAGCUUCAAAAAAGUUCAUACUGAAAAUAUGUUUACAGGUUAAGACAAUCUGCACAAAAAUCCAUUUAUCUCAAUAUUGUACCGUUGUGUUCUGAUGUAUGGAUUAAUUCAAGUAGAAAAUAUUGCUCCUGACCUGUGCAAUAAGUGACCCCUCAAAAGAUAACAUUCUUGAUACACUGCAGGCCAGAUAGGGAAAUAGGUAAUAGUGAGAUAGAUGGGUUGAAAAAAGUAUUUUGUUGAGAAUUGACAAUG